rnacentral:rRNA from 1 species
UACGAAGGGGGCUAGCGUUGUCGCGAAUUACUGGGCGUAAAGCGUGCGCAGGCGGCUUCUCAAGUCAGGGGUGAAAGCCCAGAGCUCAACUCUGGAAUUGCCUUUGAGACUGAGUGGCUUGAGUACGAGAGAGGUGAGUGGAAUUCCCAGUGUAGAGGUGAAAUUCGUAGAUAUUGGGAAGAACACCGGUGGCGAAGGCGGCUCACUGGCUCGUAACUGACGCUCAUGCACGACAGCGUGGGGAUCAAACAGG